AUUGAACGCUGGCGGCAGGCCUAACACAUGCAAGUCGAACGAGUGGCGGACGGGUGAGUAAUGUCUGGGAAACUGCCUGCUGGAGGGGGAUAACUACUGGAAACGGUAGCUAAUACCGCAUACCAUCUGAUGUACCCAGAUGGGAUUAGCUAGUAGGUGGGGUAACGGCUCACCUAGGCGACGAUCCCUAGCUGGUCUGAGAGGAUGACCAGCCACACUGGAACUGAGACACGGUCCAGACUCCUACGGGAGGCAGCAGUGGGGAAUAUUGGACAAUGGGCGCAAGCCUGAUGCAGCCAUGCCGCGUGUAUGAAGAAGGCCUUCGGGUUGUAAAGUACUUUCAGCGGGGAGGCGGUACCCACAGAAGAAGCACCGGCUAACUCCGUGCCAGCAGCCGCGGUAAUAC
rnacentral:rRNA from 1 species